CAGGAGUCCUGAGAUCUGGAGGCUGACAGGUGCAGCCUAUCUGGUCCUCAGCCACGGUGCAAUAAAAGGGAGGACUGCCAGCAUAUCAGCGGCUGACUGUUUUGCCCCAGUGGUAUUGCUCUAUGCUUCGCUACUUUGGUUUAGAAGAAUCUCUGGAAUUCCCACAUACCGUAAACUUCACCGGACAUCUUACCUGGCUGGUAGUCCGAACGGAUCAGUGUACCGCUCCAGCCGUGAAUCCUGUCCACCCCUCCUCAAAGGAUUAUUUCCCAGGAUCCAGCCGACAUCGUUCUCUGGAUCAGCUCUCAGUCCUGACGCGUCCUCUCCCUGGUGGAUACCGACGCCCCAUCACCCAGCCCGGCCUUCAUGGUGGCCAGAUCCUUGUUCCUGUCUUUAAAUAAAAUACUUAAAAC